GUCUACUGCCAUACCACCCUGAACGCGCCCGAUCUCGUCUGAUCUCGGAAGCUAAGCAGGGUCGGGCCUGGUUAGUACUUGGAUGGGAGAAUAUGGAGAUAAUAUAAG
rnacentral:rRNA from 1 species